UCAGGAUGAACGCUAGCUACAGGCUUAACACAUGCAAGUCGAGGGGCAGCAUGGUCUUAGCUUGCUAAGGCCGAUGGCGACCGGCGCACGGGUGAGUAACGCGUAUCCAACCUGCCUUACACUCUUGGACAGCCUUCUGAAAGGGAGAUUAAUACAAGAUGUUAUCAUGAGUAAGCAUUUUCGCAUGAUUAAAGGUUUACCGGUGUAAGAUGGGGAUGCGUUCCAUUAGAUAGUAGGCGGGGUAACGGCCCACCUAGUCUUCGAUGGAUAGGGGUUCUGAGAGGAAGGUCCCCCACAUUGGAACUGAGACACGGUCCAAACUCCUACGGGAGGCAGCAGUGAGGAAUAUUGGUCAAUGGACGAGAGUCUGAACCAGCCAAGUAGCGUGAAGGAUGAAGGUUCUAUGGAUUGUAAACUUCUUUUAUACGGGAAUAAACGGAUCCACGUGUGGAUUUUUGCAUGUACCGUAUGAAUAAGGAUCGGCUAACUCCGUGCCAGCAGCCGCGGUAAUACGGAGGAUCCGAGCGUUAUCCGGAUUUAUUGGGUUUAAAGGGAGCGUAGAUGGGUUGUUAAGUCAGUUGUGAAAGUUUGCGGCUCAACCGUAAAAUUGCAAUUGAUACUGGCAGUCUUGAGUACAGUUGAGGUAGGCGGAAUUCGUGGUGUAGCGGUGAAAUGCUUAGAUAUCACGAAGAACUCCGAUUGCGAAGGCAGCUUACUAACCUGUAACUGACAUUGAUGCUCGAAAGUGUGAGUAUCAAACAGGAUUAGAUACCCUGGUAGUCCACACGGUAAACGAUGAAUACUCGCUGUAGGCGAUAUACAGUCUGCGGCCAAGCGAAAGCAUUAAGUAUUCCACCUGGGGAGUACGCCGGCAACGGUGAAACUCAAAGGAAUUGACGGGGGCCCGCACAAGCGGAGGAACAUGUGGUUUAAUUCGAUGAUACGCGAGGAACCUUACCCGGGCUUAAAUUGCAACCGAAUAUGGCGGAAACGCUAUAGCUAGCAAUAGCGGUUGUGAAGGUGCUGCAUGGUUGUCGUCAGCUCGUGCCGUGAGGUGUCGGCUUAAGUGCCAUAACGAGCGCAACCCUUGCCGAUAGUUACUAACAGGUCAUGCUGAGGACUCUGUCGGGACUGCCAUCGUAAGAUGUGAGGAAGGUGGGGAUGACGUCAAAUCAGCACGGCCCUUACGUCCGGGGCUACACACGUGUUACAAUGGGGGGUACAGAGGGCUGCUACCACGCAAGUGGAUGCCAAUCCCAAAAACCUCUCUCAGUUCGGAUUGAAGUCUGCAACCCGACUUCAUGAAGCUGGAUUCGCUAGUAAUCGCGCAUCAGCCACGGCGCGGUGAAUACGUUCCCGGGCCUUGUACACACCGCCCGUCAAGCCAUGGGAGCCGGGGGUACCUGAAGUGCGUAACCGCAAGGAGCGCCCUAGGGUAAA
rnacentral:rRNA from 1 species